GACGAACGCUGGCGGCGUGCUUAACACAUGCAAGUCGAACGGAAAGGCCCUGCUUUUGUGGGGUGCUCGAGUGGCGAACGGGUGAGUAACACGUGAGUAUCCUGCCCUUGACUUUGGGAUAACUUCAGGAAACUGGGGCUAAUACCGGAUAGGAGCUCCUGCUGCAUGGGGGGGGUUGGAAAGUUUCGGCGGUUGGGGAUGGACUCGCGGCUUAUCAGCUUGUUGGUGGGGUAGUGGCUUACCAAGGCUUCGACGGGUAGCCGGCCUGGGAGGGUGACCGGCGACAUUGGGACUGAGAGACGGCCCAGACUCCUACGGGAGGCAGCAGUGGGGAAUAUUGCACAAUGGGCGGAAGCCUGAUGCAGCAACGCCGCGUGCGGGAUGACGGCCUUCGGGUUGUAAACCGCUUUCGCCUGUGACGAAGCGUGAGUGACGGUAAUGGGUAAAGAAGCACCGGCUAACUACGUG
rnacentral:rRNA from 1 species